AAUGCUCAAAAUGCCCAAAACACUCAAAAGGCGCUGAAAACACACUACAAUAAAAAUUCUAUUCAAAACAAUAGAAACUUGGCCCUUUUCUCACGAUUCCUCUCUCCUCUCUCACUUCACUCGACGCCUUCUCCAAAUCAGCCCGCACGACGACGUCCUCCGUCCGGCACCACUCCGACGAGGUCCUACAAUCUGGCGAGCAGAUAAACAAGAGCGACUAUAAGACAUUUAGGAGGGAAGGAUAUAGGCAUUACGAAUUGCUUGGAGAGAUUUUAGCGGGACUACAGUUACUGAAAGUCUGGGCCAUGUUUCUAGUUAGCUUCCUCCAACUUCAGAGGAAGAAAGACGGGUAGAAGAUGAGUUUUUGAGCAGGGGAGUGCAUGUACAUGUGGAGAAUGAUGACGAUGAAGUUUCAAAUAUUCGUCAACGUGAUGAUACUCCACCUAACAAACAUCGACAUAAGGAACCUAAAAUCAAUAAAAGAGAAAAACUUGAGAAAUGUAUGGCUCAAUGGUCAUCUACUGUUAGUAUGAGGAAUGAGGAAACAGAAAUAAGGAUGCUAUACCUUAGAGAAAAGCUUGCGCACAUUCAAGAAAAAUCAUCUAAUCACAAGGGCACUAGUGAAGUCAUUAGUCCAGAUCCUUAUUCAAAUAUGGUGUGUUUCAACAUCUUAAACAACAUGGAAGGAGUGUCCAACGAGGUUUAUAUGAAAGCAAUAAAAGCUUUUAAGGAUGCAGUUUUCAGGAUAACAUUUAUAAAGAUGCCAAAAAUUAGGAGAGGACCUAUCUUAGAACUUCUUUGAUUUGCCUAAUUAGUCGGACUGAGUAUUUUGAGCUUAUAAUGUAGGAUUGUGUUCUUUUUAUAUAUUGACUAUGAACUUUGUAAUUCUCAAUAUUUACUACUAGUUUUAUUUUAAUCAAUAUUGAUUUUGGUAUUUA